rnacentral:sRNA from 1 species
AUGCCUGUAAAAUGUGUUGCUACUGUUGAAUCUUUAAAAAAUUAAGCAAGAACUUGGGGUAACGUUUCGGGUAAUUUGUUGUAAUAUUAAUAUUUUCUCCAUAUGACAUGAUGUGGGCGCUGCCACCCUGUCACAGGGUUGCAUUCGGUUGAGGUAGUUGCCAGAUCGGCCAAAUUACUUUACAAUCAAUAAAGAGGCUCCAUCCAGUGUCUCCCAGAAAAUGCAAUAUAGUCAAAGAACCUUAUACAGAAAGCCUUUAAACAGAGCACCUCCCGGACCUAGAGUAAAGAUCGGAAUGUUGUAACUCUAACAGAAAAGCUUUAUGUGAAAGUGGCCAAAAACCUGCCUGACAAGAGAACACAAAUUCAGAAGGGAAGCCAAAUCAUGAGUAGCCUAGUUGUAGAGCAGAACAGUGUCCCAGCAAUCAAGGCGACCACGGCGAUGAAGGCGAUCUCUCGGCAGCGGUCCAAUCGAUUCAGCCCAAGUACCCUGGAUCCUCGGAAAUAGCCACGUUUAACACGCUGCAAUCUUUAAAGGAUCUCAAUGGGUCGCUGAAGGGCUGCCUACGAUCCAGAUGCCAAAAUGCCAAAAGCAUGCCCUGGCUUGGAUGUCUUCGCGUGAGAAUUAGAGUCCACGUGUCGGCAUUUUGGCCGAUGAUAUGGGCUUAAGCAAGACCCUGAAAAUGAUUUCAGGAGAGCAAAGUGAAGGAGAGAAGGGUACAAACGGAAAAGCACUGGUGGAUGGAAUUCGAAGGGCCGAAAAACUCAUCUUGGUGGCAGCUUAGUCAUGUGCCCGGCUAGCUUGCUGCGCCAGUGGGAGGGAAAUGGUCAUCAUGGCAACAAGCGCUAGACAAAGGCCAAACAAAAUCGUGAUGUUUCAGACUACAAGAAACAAGAGCAACAGAACCGUCUGCAGCUGGAAAGAAAAUUGAACAGCUUGCCCUGCAAGGAGUUGCGUAUGAUUGAGAUUUCCCUUAUCUUUUUGGUUUACACUGAUAAAAUUAGCUUAAAGUA